AAUUUUGAAUAUUUACUUAAUUAAUGCAUCUAUAAAUAGCGUUGAUGCUUCAGGGGCGGUAGUUCAUUUACACCCAGUUUUGCGGCAGGCGGUAUUUCCUACGUACCGCCUGCCAUGCAGGCUAGGACAUUGCCUAUUCGUGUGCAAGUUUUAAUCUGAUUAGCCAAUCACAGGUCCAAGCUGAUCGGUUGAGCAAAUCGAAACCAUGCAUCAAAUGAACUUUCUCGGUGAAAACAUUGAACAUUGUCAUGAGAAUAGACAUGUUUUAUCUGCGACCAUUCAGCCUUAGUUGCAAGCGACGGUAGGCCCCUCGAUUCAUACACCACUGUCCUGUACAUGUCUAAAUGCUUGUCCUUAAUAUUUUAGGUGAAGGGUUUUCCAGGUAUGUUACAUAUAAGCUGUUUGGGUG